rnacentral:lncRNA from 7 species
GUUUCUCAGGUUAUAUGCUGAGUUCCUGAUUUAGUAGAUCCUCAGCACCUGUUUUGUUCUUCACUUUUGCUUGAAGCCUGCUUUCCUGGUGGCUCCAGGUGCUUUCCCAGACCUCCAACUCAAACAAAAACAAAGCUGUGGAUCCUGGAUAUAUUUAUGCUGGCUUUCUUCUUCCUGGGGAAGUCUGGAAUCGUUUCACAUUAUAUUUCCACCAUGGCAUUUUAGAGUAGCUGUUAACUUCAGAGAGUCUAAGAGGGUUUCUAGCAGCCAAUAGACACGCCAUGUUUUGAUGAUGUAAAAUAUCCUAGGAUUGUUGACAGUUUGUAUGGUCUGAGCCCACAUAAUCUCUGUUGCAAUCUAUUUCUAAACAUUCCUUGGCUGUGAAUUUGUAACAAUACAGAAUUCAAUCUAUAGUUUAAUACCCCAUUGUGCUAUUCUAUUACCCGUUCCUUAGAUAUGAGGUUUGAUAGAUAACUUUCUGCUGAUUCUACAGUAGGCUUCUUACUCAUCUCAUCAAAUAUGACACUGUUUGCAACUUACCAUGGGUUUCUAUUCUGCCAAAGAAGAAAGAAUGGUUAUUUGUGUUCUUAUAACUAAUGUUCUCAAGAUGUGUUCAGUCUUGACAAAUCGAAGUCCAGACUAUUCAUAGUCUUUAUUACUUUGUAAAAUUGUAGAUGGUAAUGUUGGCAUGUCUCAUUAGUUUAUUAGAAAGGAAUUACAUUUAUCAUACUUAGGAUAUAGCUGCACGAAGAGAGUGGAAACCCUACAUCCCACAGAACCAGAAACUGCAAUAUUGAUUACUCCAGCCUAUCAGAUAACAAAGAUGUUAAUAUGGUUUGCAAAAAUGACUACUAAGGUUUUUACACACAUUACAACAAAUAAGUCUUUCCUAAUGCUUGUUUGAUUUAUGAAGAGAAUUAUAAAAUAAAUAUUAGUCUGCAACACAGACAUUGUGCAUGUGGCUAUAUAAUGUUUUACUGACAGUGUUUCUGUUAUUGCUAAAUUAGCUCCAUUUUCUUCUUUUCAAUUUCUGUGGAAUCUGAUUGUGCUUUUUGUCUUUCACCAGAUUUUAGGAUAGCCAAGAGGAGUUGUUUUUCCCCUGUUUGUAUAAAGUACCUGCAAUAACACCUUGAUUCAAACUACAGUUUCUUAGUAGUAUGCUUAAAUAACUGAUAGGUAUUUUUUAAAUACUAUUCAAAUCAUAAAAUGAACGAUGCUCCUAUUCAAUGGGACAAGUAAUUCUGGAUGAAAAAUGGAUUUCUCAUCUUAUUUCUGAAUCCUGCUGUGGGAAUACCACACUUAAUAAAUCCAGAAAAGAACACAACGAGGAAACAUAGGCACUUAUUUAUGGGAUUGAGAAUUUCUGCUAUGUCAUCACUGUCACUUUCUCACAUUAAAACUGAAGAUAUGG